rnacentral:rRNA from 1 species
UACGUAGGUGGCGAGCGUUGUCCGGAAUUACUGGGUGUAAAGGGCGUGUAGGCGGGGAUAUAAGUCAGAUGUGAAAUUCCUAGGCUCAACUUGGGAGCUGCAUCUGAAACUAUAUUUCUUGAGUGCUGGAGAGGAAAGCGGAAUUCCUAGUGUAGCGGUGAAAUGCGUAGAUAUUAGGAGGAACACCAGUGGCGAAGGCGGCUUUCUGGACAGUAACUGACGCUGAGGCGCGAAAGCGUGGGGAGCAAGCAGG